rnacentral:tRNA from 1 species
UUCCCUGUAGCUCAGUUGGUAGAGCAUGGUGUUUGCAACGCCAGGGUUGUGGGUUCGAAGUCGCUCUGGAUAAG